rnacentral:rRNA from 1 species
CACCAGGCGCGAAAACUUUGCAAUGCGGGAAACCGUGACAAGGGAACUCUGAGUGCCCGUUAAAUCGGGCUGUCCAUCGGUUUAAAUAACCGGUGAAGAAAGGGCCGGGCAAGACCGGUGCCAGCCGCCGCGGUAAUACCGGCGGCUCGAGUGGUGGCCACUAUUACUGGGCUUAAAGCGUUCGUAGCUGGUUUGUUAAGUCUCUGGGGAAAUCUUCCGGCUCAACCGGAAGGCGUCUCAGGGAUACUGGCAGACUAGGGACCGGGAGAGGUGAGAGGUACUCCAGGGGUAGGAGUGAAAUCCUGUAAUCCUUGGGGGACCACCUGUGGCGAAGGCGUCUCACCAGAACGGCUCCGACAGUGAGGGACGAAAGCUGGGGGAGCAAACCGGAUUAGAUACCCGGGUAGUCCCAGCUGUAAACGAUGCGCGUUAGGUGUAUCGGUGACCACGAGUCACCGAGGUGCCGAAGAGAAAUCGUGAAACGUGCCGCCUGGGAAGUACGGUCGCAAGGCUGAAACUUAAAGGAAUUGGCGGGGGAGCACAAGGGCGAUUCGC